rnacentral:rRNA from 1 species
CUGCCCCUGUCAGGGGGACAACCCGCCGAAAGGCGGGCUAAACCCGCGUACAUGCCACCGGGGCAUCCCGGAGGCAGGAAAGGCUUCGGCCGGACAGGGAUGGGCAUGCGGCGCAUUAGGCAGUAGGCGGGGUAACGGCCCACCUAACCGACGAUGCGUAGGGGUUCUGAGAGGAAGGUCCCCCGCACUGGUACUGAGACACGGACCAGACUCCUACGGGAGGCAGCAGUGAGGAAUAUUGGUCAAUGGUCGGGAGACUGAACCAGCCAAGCCGCGUGAGGGAUGAAGGUACAGAGUAUCGUAAACCUCUUUUGUCAGGGAACAAAGGCGGGGACGUGUCCCCGGAUGAGUGUACCUGAGGAAAAAGCAUCGGCUAACUCCGUGCCAGCAGCCGCGGUAAUACGGAGGAUGCGAGCGUUAUCCGGAUUUAUUGGGUUUAAAGGGUGCGCAGGCGGUCUGUUAAGUCAGCGGUCAAAGCCCGGGGCUCAACCCCGGCCCGCCGUUGAAACUGGCAGUCUCGAGUUGGAGAGAAGUAUGCGGAAUGCGCGGUGUAGCGGUGAAAUGCAUAGAUAUCGCGCAGAACUCCGAUUGCGAAGGCAGCAUGCCGGCUCCACACUGACGCUGAGGCACGAAAGCGUGGGUAUCGAACAGGAUUAGAUACCCUGGUAGUCCACGCAGUAAACGAUGA